UAAUCCCCGCGGCCCCGCCCGCAAUAUGUGGAUCAAUUCCAUCCGACUCGGUGCCUCGCCGCCUGUCAGAAAAGAAAAAUCAGUGCCUCCCGACCCUUCUCUCGCCGAGCACAACAACCAUGGCGACGGAUCUGUAGCGUCCGCGGCCGCUCCACCUUGGGUUCCCUGACCCUUCUUCUCUAGGCUGGGCAGAGCAACCAUGGCGGCGGAUUCGCAGCUUCCACGGCCGCUCCACCUCGGGCAGCGUGGAUCACGGCCAGCGGCCCGAUGGAGGCGGGUACCGGCGUGGUUGCUAUUCUGCCCUGCUCUCCCUCCAUGUCUCCUCCUGAGCCUUCGGUGGCCAGAUGCCUCUUCCACUAGGGGCACCCUCAUCGUUGGCGGAUUUUAUAUUUUUCAGGUCAGACAGUGUGCAGCCACACCUGGUCAACAUCCAGUUUCAGAAGAAUGUACAUCUGCAAGUAACCACGACGAGUAAACGAUCUUCCGCUGCCUUCCACUCAAUUUUGUUUGGAUGCGCACGUGAAGUCGAAUGACAAGAACCAGCUAGAUGAGGGCAUUCAUUCGAAACACAUAUCUAAUCUUCUAUGUGUGGGAUCCUUUUUCUGUUCUGAAUUUGUUGUUCGGGCGAGCUUGUUACUCUCUACAUGGAUUUCAAGUUGGAUGAGAGCUACACGCUGAGCAAGAUCUCCAUUUGGACUGGCGACGGCUUCCACAAUCUCAAGGCAAUUCCUCUUUUCUGAAGAUAGCAGCGAGGUGCCCAGUAAGAGCACACACGUAUCUCUGAAUUAUAAGUUAUGAUAUGUGCUCUAUGUUGAGAUCACAUAUCAAUUGUUUUUGAACAAUACUCGGGUUAGUUUGGUAUAGUUCUUACAUGUAUUGCCAUCUCAGCUUACCAUGAGCCUAAUUUUUGUAGUUGUAUACUUAUUGUAUGUCUGCAUAUAUGUAUGAAUUGAACACCUGCUGCUAUUUUCGUGGUCCGCGCACUUGCUUGAAAUAUAAUCAACUUA